rnacentral:miRNA from 14 species
CAUCCUCCCUGGGGUUAGAAUUUGCAGUAACAGGUGUGAACCUCUCGGUGGCAGUUCAGUGGUCAUGUAUGAUACUGCAAACAGGA